AUACUUACCUGGAUGGGGUCAAUGGACGAUCGUGAAUGUCCAUGGCCUAGGUUGGUGACCUCCAUUGCACUUUGGAGGGGUGCCCACCUAAGGUCUCCCCAAGUGGGAGAGCCUACAUCAUAAUUUGUGGUAGUGGGGGCUUGCGUUCGCGCAGCCCCUUU
rfam:Glycine soja cultivar W05 scaffold3233_27, whole genome shotgun sequence.